AGUAGGUAUAAACUAAACCUGGGCCAUCAAGAGUCUCCAAGGAAAACUUGCAAUGAUGGAGUCCCUGUUAAAGGUCAAAAAUCUCCCCGACCCUCAAGAUCCAGUGCAAGUGAAGCAGCCAGUUGUCUGGGGUAAAUACCCGGGGUUUGCCAUCCCAUGCCAGGAAAAUGUAGGACACGGACACACGCGAGGAGUCGCGAGGAGUUUAAGAGGGAAGGUUUAAUAGGCAAAAGAAAGAGAAAGGAAAACAGCUCUCUCUCUAGUGAGAGAGGGGACUUCCGAGAGAAAAGGGGCAGCUGGAGGCAGAUGAGCCGAAUUUAUAGUCCAGCUUGAGGAGGCGGCGUCUGAUUUACUUAGGACUCACAGAUUGGUUUGAUCAGGUGUUUGUUUACAUAGCUGGGAAGGCUGGCCGCCCCACCCUAAGCUUAUUAUGCAAAUGAACUCUCUCGGAGGGUGCCAUUUUGUCGGCUCCUUACUGCACCUGUGGCUGACAGAGAAGGGAUGAUGGGGCCGCCAUUUUGAACAUGAUUGGCACAACUGCCGUCAUCUAUGUCUGCAGCCCGAUUUUACAGGCUGCUCUUUGUUAGAAGGAAAAAUGAUUUGGGCCUGCUUUCCAUUAAAAGAGAAACCUUACCAAGAACUUCGGUAACCUCACUGUCUACCUAAGUAAUUUCUUCUUAACUCCUGUGUCACAAGGAAGUUAGAACCUGGGGUUUCUGGGCUACUAAGAGAGGAAGAUGUGAAGGACUGAUUCACAAAGUGAAGAAGUCAGAGGGCAGUCACCUGGGGAAAACUCCAAGGACAGUUUACAGGAUAGAAUCAAGAAUUGGCCAGGUGAGGCCAGGCGCCCUGGCUCACACCUGUAAUCCCAGCACUCUGGGAGGGCGAGGUGGGCGGAUCACGAGGUCAGGAGAUCGAGACCAUCCUGGCUAACACGGUGAAACCUCGUCUCUACUAAAAAUACAAAAAAACGAGCCGGGCGUGGUGGCGGGCCCCUGUAGUCCCAGCUACUCAGGAGGCUGAAGCGGCAGGAUGGCGUGAACCGGGGAGGCGGAGCUUGCAGUGAGCCAAGACCGCACCACUGCACUCCAGCCUGGGCGACAGAGCAAGACUCCAUCUCAAAAAAAAAAAAAAAAGGCCAGUGUCGGCUGGUCUGAGAAAUAAAGAGAAACAGUACAAAGAGAGAAAUUUUACAACUGGGCCUCCAGCGGUGACAUCACAUACUGGUAGGACCGUGAUGACAACCCCGAGCUGCAAAACCAGCAGGUUUUUAUUAGGGAUUUUAAAAGGGGAGGGGAUGUACGAACAGGGAGUAAGCCACAAGGAUCACAUGCUUCGAAGGGCAAUAAAGAUCACAAAGCGAAGGCAAAAUUAGAAUUACUGAUGAGGGUCUAUGUCCCGCUGUGCACGUAUUGUUUUGAUAAACAUCUUAACAGGAAACAGGGUUCGAGACCAAAGAACCGGUCUGACUAGAAUUUACCAGGCUGGAAUUUCCCAAUCCUAGUAAGCCUGAGGGUACUGCAGGAGACCAGGGCAUAUUUCAGUCCUUAUCUCAACCACAUAAGACAGACACUCCCAGAGCAGCCAUCUACAGACCUCCCCCGAGGAAUGCAUUCCUUCCCCAGGGUUAUUCCUUCCUGGGAAAAGAAUUCAGCGAUAUUUCUCCUCGCACAUCUGUUUAUAGGCUUUCUGCAAGAAGAAAAAUAUGGCUCUAUUCUGCCCAACCCUGCAAGCAGUCAGACUUUAUGGUUAUCUUUUCUUGUUACCUGAAAAUUGCUGUUACUUUGUUCUUUUUCAGAGUGCACUGAUUUCAUAUUGUUCAAACCCACAUGUUUUACAAUCAGAUUUCAUAUUGUUCAAACACACAUGUUCUACAACCAAUUUGUACAAUAGUGGUCCUGAGGUGACGUACAUUCUCAGUUUAUGAAGAUAAUAGGAUUAAGAGAUUAAAGACAGGCAUAAGAAAUUAUAAGAGUAUUAGGGAAGUGAUAAAUAUCCAUGAAAUCUUCACAAUUUAUGUUCAGAGAUUGCAGUAAAGACAGGUGUAAGAAAUUAUAAAAGUAUUAAUUUGGGGAACUGCUAAAUGUCCAUGAAAUCUUCACAAUUUAUGUUCUUCUGCCUUGGCUCCAGCUGGUCCCUCCAUUCAGGGUCCCUGACUUCCCACAACAAAUUAAUGAUAUUUUUGUGUCAAAGACUAGCUGAACCCUAUGUUGUUCCCGGUUACCAACUGACAUAAAUAAGUAUGUUUGUAAUGAGCCUUAAGAAUGGUUCUAUGGAGUUGCCCAUGUAAGAAGCAGCCGGAUGGCAAAUUAGUUAUUGUAAUUUGAAGUGCUCACAGUUAUAACUUCCUAUAUAAGGUUCCUACUUGCAAUUUCUGUUUGUUUUCUAUAUUCACAAUAUCUUAAAAGGCAUAGACUAUCUUUCCAAGCCUCACAUUAUACAUCACUUUAAUUUGCUCUGGUGUAAAACUGCUAAUUUCUUUGAGGUGAUACCACAGAACCACUAAAUUAGAUACGCUGUAUGCCACAUAGCAUAUAUUUUAAGUCAUUUUUUAAUUAAAAAAAAACAAACCUUAAAAUUUGGUGAAAAUCCAUUGUGUUUGUUAUCUAUUGCUGCAUAAUAAAUUGCCCCAAAAGUAAGUAGCUUCAAACAAUAAGAAACAUUUAUUUUCUAUCUCUCUUAAACACAUACACACACACAUACAUACACACACAAACACAGUAUUAAUUUGUUAUUGUUGAAGUUUUAAAAAGUGAUUUGUAUGUCAAAAACAAACCCCAACCUUCUCUCCUUGCCACCCAAACCAAAGAAGGCCAGCUCCAUAACAUAAAAGUGCGAGGUGAAGCAGCAAGUGAUGAUGAAGAAGCUGCAUCAAGUUAUCCAGAAGAUCUAGCCAAGAUAAUUGGUGAAGGUGACUACACUAAACAACAGAUUUUCCAUGUAGAUAAAAUAGCUUUAUAUUGGAAGAAGAGGCCAUCUAGGACAUUCAUAGCUACAGAGGAAAAGUCAAUGCCUGCCUGGCUUCAAAGCUUCAAAGGACAGUCUGACUCUCUUGUUAGAGGCUAAUAUAGCUGAUGGCUUUAAGUUGAAGCUAAUCCUCAUUUACCACUCUGAAAACCCUCUGGCUCUUAAGAAUUAUGCUAAAUCUACUCUGCCUGUGUUUUAUAAAUGGAACAACAAAGCUUGGAUGACAGCAUAUCUGUUUACAGCAUGGUUUGUUGAAUAUUUUAAGCCCACUGUUGAGAGACCUACUGCUCAGGAAAAAAAAGAUUUCUUUCAAAAUAUUACUGCUCAUUGACAAUGUAGUUGGCCACCCAAGAGCUCUGAUGCAGAGAUACAAGGAGAUAAAUGUUGUUUUCAUGCUUGGUAACACAGUGUCCAUUCUGCAGCCUAUGGAUCAAGGAGUGAUUUCAACUUUCAAGUCUUAUUAUUUAAGAAUAAAUUUUGUAAGGUUAUAGCUGCAAUGGAUAGUGAUUUUUCUGACAUAUCUGGGCAAAAUACAUUGAAAAUCUUUUGGAAAGCAUUCAUCAUUCUAGAUGCCAUUAAGAACACUUGUGAGCUGAGCACGGUAGCUCACACCUGUAAUCCCAGCACUUUGGGAGGCCGAUGUGGGUGGAUCACCUGAGGUUAGGAGUUCCAGACCAGCCUGGCCAACAUGGUGAAACCCCAUCUCUACUAAAAAUAUAAAAUUAGCCAGGCAUGGUGACACACUCCUAUAAUCCUAGCACUUUGGGAGGCCGAGGCAGGUGGAUCACCUGAGGUCAGGAGUUUGAAACCAGCCUGGCCAACAUGGUGAAACCCCAUUUCUACUAAAAAUACAAAAAUUAGCUAGGCCUGGUGGCAGAGGCCUGUAAUCCCAGCUACUUGGGAGGCUGAGGCAGGAGAAUUGCUUGAAUCUGGGAGGCAGAGGUUGCAGUGAGCUGAUAUCGCACCACUGCACUCCAGCCUGGGCAACAAGAGUAAGACUCUGUCUCAAAAAAAAAAAAAAAAAAAA
ensembl:lncRNA DDR1-DT DDR1 divergent transcript